CAAGAAACAAGCAAAGCAAAAAAUACAAUUUGUGUCACAUGAAUGUAUCAUGCCGGAUUUCAAGUUAUUUAGAAAUUGCUCUUUUGCAUACACUUUCCAUAACUAGUUCUUAGCAAAAUGGGUAUAGAUAACCCCAUUAGUAACAGGCAGAAAAAAUAAGUAAAUAAAAAUCCAUAAGAAUUGUGAAUGCACCUUUAUCCCAAAAAUAGUCAUUUGCCUUGUUUUGUGAAUGUAAUGUUAAAAAAAAAAAUUUUUUUAGAAAGAGUAAGUGGUGGAAACCGAUCAUUUUGGUGUAUUACAGGAAGAAAGAAAAAAAAGUCACAUUGAUGAAUGUGGAACAACAGUUCCAUACCCAAUAGUUUGCAAGUACAUGAUGGCCCAUAAGCCCCUACCCAUGCAUAAGAUAUAUAGAUGGUAGGGACUUAUAGGCCACCGUGUACACAAGGCUGAUGCAAACAUGAAAACAAAGGCAACAUUGUUUAAAUAACCACUACAGAUUUCAGGGCUAAUAUAGGUUUACUAUAUACACUUUAUAAUGGUCAGCAGUAAAAUGGAGUUUCCUACGCAUAAUAGAAUCAUCAACAUUUAUAUAGCGCCAACAGAUUCCGUGGCGCUUUACACACACGGCUGCAAAUACUGCACUAAAUAUAACUCAGCAGAAU